UACAGAGGGUGCAAGCGUUAAUCGGAAUUACUGGGCGUAAAGCGUGCGUAGACGGUUAUGUAAGUCAGGUGUGAAAGCCCCGGGCUCAACUGGGGAGGGUCACGCGAUACUGCUCGACUUGAAGGCAGGAGAGGGAAGUGGAAUUCCCGGUGUAGUGGUGAAAUGCGUAGAUAUCGGGAGGAACACCAGUGGCGAAGGCGACUUCCUGGCCUGUUCUUGACGCUGAGGCGCGAAAGCUAGGGUAGCAAACGGG
rnacentral:rRNA from 1 species